rnacentral:rRNA from 1 species
AAAGGGUGCGUAGGCGGGCUUUAAGUCAGCGGUAAAAUUCGGGGCUCAACCCGUCCGGCCGUUGAAACUGGGGGUCUUGAGUGGGCGAGAAGAAGGCGGAAUGCGUGGUGUAGCGGUGAAAUGCAUAGAUAUCACGCAGAACCCCGAUUGCGAAGGCAGCCUUCCGGCGCCCUACUGACGCUGAGGCACGAAAGUGCGGGGAUCGAACAGG